CCUACGGGAGGCAGCAGUGGGGAAUUUUGGACAAUGGGCGCAAGCCUGAUCCAGCUAUUCCGCGUGUGGGAUGACUGCCCUCGGGUUGUAAACCUCUUUAGUAGAGGACGAAAAGUAGCUAUCGAAUAAAUAUCUCUACUGACGGUACUCUAAGAAUAAGCACCGGCUAACUACGUGCCAGCAGCCGCGGUAAUACGUAGGGUGCGUGCGUUAAUCGGAAUUACUGGGCGUAAAGGGGGUGCAGGCGGCUGAGUAAGACAGAUGUGAAAUCCCCGGGCUUAACCUGGGAACUGCAUAUGUGACUGGCAGGCUUGAGUGCGGUAGAGGGAGGUGGAAUUCCAGGUGUAGCAGUGAAAUGCGUAGAUAUCUGGAAGAACACCGAUGGCGAAGGCAGCUUCCUGAGACGCAACUGACGCUGAUACACGAAAGCGUGGGGAGCAAACAGGAUUAGAUACCCUUGUAGUC
rnacentral:rRNA from 1 species